rnacentral:rRNA from 1 species
UACGUAGGGUGCAAGCGUUAAUCGGAAUUACUGGGCGUAAAGCGUGCGCAGGCGGUUGUGUAAGACAGAUGUGAAAUCCCCGGGCUCAACCUGGGAACUGCAUUUGUGACUGCACAGCUGGAGUGCGGCAGAGGGGGAUGGAAUUCCGCGUGUAGCAGUGAAAUGCGUAGAGAUGCGGAGGAACACCGAUGGCGAAGGCAGCCCCCUGGGCUAACACUGACACUCAUGCACGAAAGCGUGGGGAGCAAACAGG